ACAUACGAUGGCAGCACCUGUCUGAGCAAUGGCGUUGGGGCAUGAGUCACUGAUACGCCUCUAGCCAAAUAUUGAAGGAAGGAAGGAAGUAAGCGUAUCUUUUAGUGUCGUUUGAACUAAAAGGUGUGAUAAAGUGGAUAUUGUCACAUAUAAAAAGUUUUGCAAAGCAAUAAUAAGAAAUGGAUAAGGAUGAAAUCAGGAUCCUAUUGAUAUUGAAGAAGAGAUGAUAACUACUAAUACAAGUGAAGGCAUUGCUACCACUUUAGCAGAAAGAAAGUACUUUAUAAUAUAAUAAAUUCAAAUAAGGGACAAAGCAGUAUAGGAUGCAAUGAUUGCUAUGAAGAGAUUAGAAAUAUGUUCUUAAUAAACAUUUCAGUCGAAACAUUUAAGUAAACAUUUAAGUAAAAAAUACAUAACUCAUUACUUGCUUAGCAGCAUAAUUUUGUUUUGAAAAUUAUACAAAAUAUAUUUUUACUAUGUUAUAAAUACAGAAGAAGAAAUGGAAAAUAGAUUGAUAGUAACAAACAAAGGAAAGUUAAAUGGAAAAGACCUUUCGAGAUCAGAAGAGGAGAUGGAGAUGACAACAAGUGAAUAUGACGAAAAAAAUACUUCGGAGAAAAUAAGAAAUAAGAGAAAGGAGAAAGGUAAAAUAUU